rnacentral:rRNA from 1 species
GCUCAGGAUGAACGCUGGCGGUAUGCUUAACACAUGCAAGUCGAACGAAAGUUUUCCAACUUUAGUGGCGAACGGGUGCGUAAUACGUGAGAAUCUACCCUUAGGAGGAGAAUAACUGCUGGAAACGGCUGCUAAGUCUCCAUAUGCCGAGAGGUGAAAUAGUUUUACUGCCUAAGGAUGAGCUCACGCCUGAUUAGCUUGUUGGUAAGGUAAAGGCUUACCAAGGCCACGAUCAGUAGCUGGUUUGAGAGAACGAUCAGCCACACUGGGACUGAGACACGGCCCAGACUCCUCCGGGAGGCAGCAGUGAGGAAUUUUCCGCAAUGGGCGAAAGCCUGACGGAGCAAUACCGCGUGAGGGAUGAAGGAUUUUGGUCUGUAAACCUCUUUUCUCAAGAAAGAAGUUCUGACGGUACUUGAGGAAUAAGCAUCGGCUAACUCCGUGCCAGCAGCCGCGGUAAUACGGGGGAUGCAAGCGUUAUCCGGAAUCAUUGGGCGUAAAGCGCCUGUAGGUUGUUUAAUAAGUCUGUUGUUAAAGACUAGGGCUUAACCCUAGAAAAGCAAUGGAAACUACUAGACUAGAGUAUGGCAGGGGUAGAGGGAAUUUCUAGUGUAGCGGUGAAAUGCGUAGAUAUUAGAAAGAACACCGGUGGCGAAAGCGCUCUACUGGACCAUUACUGACACUCAGAGGCGAAAGCUAGGGUAGCAAAAGGGAUUAGAUACCCCUGUAGUCCUAGCCGUAAACGAUGGAUACUAGAUGUUGCG